rnacentral:tRNA from 1 species
GAGGGUAUAGCUCAGUGAUAGAGCAUGUGCUUAGCAUGCACAAGGUCCUGGGUUCCACCCCCAGUAUCUCCA